AUAGAGCACUCUUCUGAACUCAGAGUGUUUCAUCAUAUAUACAACUAAGUUAUCAAAUCUUUUGGUUUGUUAUUACUGGACCAAAAAAAUGACAUCUAUUAUCAAAUUGAAUACCCUGUCUGGGGUCCAAGAAGAAUCUGCUCUUUGCUAUCUUCUCCAAGUUGAUGAGUUUAGAUUUUUAUUGGACUGUGGCUGGGAUGAGCACUUUUCUAUGGAUAUUAUAGAUUCCCUGAGAAAGCAUGUUCACCAGAUCGAUGCAGUACUAUUGUCUCAUCCCGACCCUCUCCAUCUUGGUGCUCUCCCAUACGCUGUCGGAAAGCGGGGUCUGAACUGUGCUAUCUAUGCAACCAUUCCUGUUUGUAAAAUGGGACAGAUGUUUAUGUAUGAUGUUUAUGUAUGAUCCAGUCUCGACACAAUACAGAAGACUUUACACUGUUUACAUUAGAUGAUGUGGAUGCAGCAUUUAAUAAAAUGCAGCAGCUAAAAUUCUCUCAAAUUGUCAAUUUGAAAGGUAAAGGACAUGGCUUGUCUAUCACACCUCUGCCAGCUGGUCAUAUGAUAGGUGGAACAAUAUGGAAAAUAGUCAAAGAUGGAGAGGAAGAAAUUGUUUAUGCAGUUGACUUCAACCACAAGAGGGAGAUCCAUUUAAAUGGAUGUUCACUGGAAAUGUUAAGCAGACGCUCCUUACUUAUCACAGAUUCAUUUAAUGCUAAAUAUGUGCAGCCUAGAAGAAAACAGAGAGAUGAGCAGCUUCUGACAAAUGUCCUAGAAACACUUCGAGGUGAUGGAAAUGUAUUAAUAGCAAUGGACACAGCAGGCAGAGUUUCGGAACUUGCUCAACUUCUUGAUCAGAUUUGGAGAACUAAAGAUGCAGGACUGGGUGUUUACUCAUUGGCACUUUUAAAUAAUGUCAGCUAUAACGUGGUGGAGUUUUCUAAGUCCCAGGUAGAAUGAAUGAGUGAUAAAUUGAUGAGAUGUUUUGAAGACAAAAGAAAUCCAUUUCAGUUUCGCCAUCUCCCUUUAUUUCAUGGUCUUUCUGACUUGGCUCGAGUACCUAGCCCCAAAGGUGUACUUGCAAGCCAACCUGACCUAGAAUGUGGAUUUUCAAGGGAUCUCUUUAUUCAGUGGUGUCAGGACCCUAAGAACUCAAUUAUUCUAACUUAUAGAACUACUCCUGGGACUUUAGCAUGUUUCCUAAUUGAUAAUCCUUCUGAAAAAAAUUACAGAAAUAGAGUUGAGGAAGCAUGUGAAACUUGAAGGGAAAGAACUUGAGGGAUACUUGGAAAAAGAAAAACUAAAGAAAGAAGCUGCUAAAAAACUCAAGCAGUCAAAAGAGGCAGAUAUAGAUUCUAGUGAUGAGAGCGACAUUGAGGAAGAUAUUGACCAGCCGUCAGCUCAUAAGACAAAACAUGACCUGAUGAUGAAAGGCGAAGGGAGUCGUAAAGGAAGUUUCUUCAAACAGGCAAAAAAGUCUUACCCUAUGUUUCCUGCCCCAGAAGAAAGAAUUAAAUGGGAUGAAUAUGGAGAGAUUAUCAAACCAGAGGAUUUCUUAGUGCCAGAACUUCAAGCUACUGAAGAAGAAAAAAACAAAUUAGAAUCUGGUUUGACAAAUGGAGAUGAACCUAUGGAUCAGGAUUUAUCUGAUGUUCCUACUAAGUGUAUUUCCACUACAGAGUCUAUUGAAAUAAAAGCAAGGGUUACUUACAUAGACUAUGAAGGAUGCUCUGAUGGAGAUUCCAUUAAAAAAAAUCAUUAAUCAGAUGAAACCACGACAGUUGAUUAUUGUCCAUGGCCCACCAGAGGCCAGUCAAGAUCUGGCUGAGUGCUGCCGUGCUUUGGGUGGGAAAGCUAUUAAAGUGUACAUGCCAAAGCUACAUGAAACAGUUGAUGCCACUAGUGAAACACACAUCUACCAGGUGAGAUUAAAAGACUCACUGGUCAGCUCCCUUCAGUUUUGUAAAGCAAAAGAUGCUGAAUUAGCUUGGAUAGAUGGCGUCUUAGACAUGAGAGUUUCCAAAGUGGACACAGGAGUUAUUUUAGAAGAAGGAGAACUGAAGGAUGAUGGAGAAGACUCAGAAACACAAGUAGAUGCUCCUUCAGAUUCUAGCGUUAUAGCACAACAGAAGGCCCUGAAAAGUCUGUUUGGAGAGGAUGAGAAAGAAACAGGUGAAGAAAGUGAGAUCAUUCCUACUUUGGAGCCUUUGCCACCUCGUGAAGUUCCUGGACAUCAGUCAGUUUUUAUGAAUGAACCAAGACUAUCAGACUUCAAGCAAGUUCGUUUAAGGGAGGGUAUUCAAGCUGAAUUUGUAGGAGGUGCUCUUGUUUGCAACAAUCAAGUAGCAGUCCGUAGAACGGAAACUGGUCUCAUCGGAUUAGAAGACUGCCUUUGUCAAGAUUUUUAUAGGAUAAGAGACCUUUUAUAUGAACAAUAUGCCAUUGUGUAAAGGACAUGAUGUCAAGAAGUAUGUGCUUGACCUUUCUAAGAAAAAAGGAUUCUUAUGCUAAGCUUUUGCUAUUUUGCCAGAAAAACUUAACAUGUAUUAGAUUUUUAAAAAUGUAAAUAGAGAACAUUUUGCUAAUGCUUAAAUGAGCAUUCUGUCUUUUGGCUUUCAGAGUGAUAGAGCUCCUAGCAAGUGUAUAGGCCCAAGAAUUGAAGGUGAUUGGUUUCCUUUACAAACCCCUUAUUCUAGAAGGGCUUUCUACUUGAAUAAAACAAUGCAAACCAGUUUAUGGCCUUAAGAGAAAUAUGUUUGCAUGAGCUCUUGCAAACUGUUUCUUGUAUUUUCUGGAAUGAAAACUGAGAAUUAUUUAGAAAAGUCAUGCCACAAAAAAACUAAACAAAACUGAUAAAACAGUUUUUU